AAUAAAGUCGUACAAGGUUUCCGUUAGGUGAACUGCGGAAGGAUCAUAAUAAAUGGUCUACGUUUUUAAGUAGACGCUAAUAUCCUACCCUUUGUGAAUUUGUUUUUUGAAAUAAUUUUUUUUAAAAUUAUUGAUUGUCUUCCCUGUUGAAUUGGUGUCUUAAUGGCAAUGAUUCGCAGGGAGUGUCAGUAAUUUUAAAAAGACCUUUUUAAAAUUAAACUUUUUGUAUUCAUUUGUCUAAAAUUAUUUUAUAAUAUAAAACAACUUUUGACAAUGGAUCUCUUGGUUUCGCAACGAUGAAGAACGCAGCAAAAUGCGAUAAGUAGUGUGAAUUGCAGAAUACGUGAAUCAUCGAAUCUUCGAACGCAUAUGCACUUUUUUUAGUUUACUAAAAAAGUAUGUCUGUUGAGUAUCAGUAAAUAUUCUCAUAAAACUUUUUGUUUUAUGGUUAUGAGUGUUUUACAACGAUACAAGUUGUUUCACUUUAAAUUUUUUUAAAGUUUGAAUUUUCUAAUUUUAAAAUAAAAUUGGAUAAAUUUCCCGUAAAAAAGGAAUAACCUAAACAUUUUAAUUUUGAUUAGAAUUCUUCAAUUAUAAGGAAAAUUUAACUAAUAACUUGAUCUCAAAUCAGAUAAGAGUACCGCUGAACUUAAGCAUAUCAUAGCGGAGGAAAGAAACUAACAAGGAUUCCUUAGUAACGGCGAGUGAAGCGGAAGAGCUCAAAUUUGAAAUCUUCAAGGUUUACCUUGACGAAUUGUAGUUUAAAGAUGUUUCUGUUGAAGUUUUGGUAAAAGUUCUUUGGAAAGGACAUCAUAGAGGUGAGAAUCCCGUAUUUGACCAUUAUUUCAGCUUGUGAUACACUUUCAAAGAGUCGGAUUGUUGGAAUGCAGCCAAAUGGUGGCAAAUUUCAUCUAAAGUAAUAUUGGCAGAGACGAUAGCGACAAGUACCGUGAGGAAAGAUGAAAGAACUUGAAAAAGAGUUAAACAGUAGGAAUUGUCAAAAGGAAGCGAUUUGACACCAGUGUUUUUCUCGAAAUCAAUUAAAAAAAAGUGAUUUUGUGUUGUAUGACCUUACAGCUUGCUCACCUUUUCUUGCUUUUUUAAUGCACCUUUCGUUUAACAAUCAACAUCAGUUUCUUUGUUGUAAAAGGUCAUUGAAGGUGGCUUCUCUCGGAGAAAGUGUAUAGCCUUGGCCUCUGCAAUCGGAGAGAUGAGUCU
rnacentral:misc_RNA from 1 species